AUGUCAAACACCCUCCUUUUCCUUUUUCCCCAAAUGCAUCUGAAAGUUGACCUACUCUUGCAAAUGAGUUUCCUGGACAAAGCUUACUUAAAUGAUCAACCACACUACCCGGCAAACUCAGCCGUCAUAAAGCAUUCCGGAAAACUUAAGUCUCCGCAGGGGCAAGUCUCCCAGCAUCCCAGCAGCAGUAGUUUAUCCCAAGGACCCGGCAUCGCUGGUGCUCCUGACCAAAGGCGCAGGGAAGUUUCACAUCCUGAGAGAGUGGCGCGCGUCUUGGGGCACCGCCAACGCGUCCAACCUGUGCACACUGUAACGCCGAAGGCGCAAGUUCCAGGAGGCUCCAGCGAGCUCAAAGUUCCUGAAGAGCCCAUCGACAGCCCCGCCGAUCUCCGCCGAGGGCCCACCUGCGUGUCCCCCCCGUGCGGGCAGCAAACAUGUGCCCCGCGAACGUCCCGGAAGAGAAAUGACAGCUCCGGCAGAACCAACUCCACGGCGGGGCGCCGAGGCAGCCGCGCGGGGCUCGGGCUCCGAGGCGUCCAGGGCCCCGGGCUGGCUCGCCGCAGACGGAACGCGGGAUCGUGCCCCUCUCACGGCCCCUUUCCGGGGCCCGGGAGCCACACUGCGGCCGGGGGCGCAGCCCGGAGCGCUCCCCGGAGGCGGCGGCGGCGGGGCUCCCAGGCCUGGGCUCCGCGCCGCCGCCACGCUCCCCGCCCGGCCGCCUCGGCCUCCCCUCCCCGCCGGCCCGGCUCCCGCCGCAGCCGCCGCUUACCUCAGCGCGAGGGCGGGGAGGGGGCCACGGCUCCGCUGGGGUCGGGGCGGCGCGGGGAAAGCGUCCCUCGGCCCUUCCGCUCCUCACAGGCUCCGGCUCGAGGCGCGACGCGGGCGGAACAAACGGGCUCCACUACCCGCGGGGGCCGGCCAUUGUGCGACGUCAUCAGUCCGCGACGGCCGUCUUGCGGGCCGGCGGGCUUCCCUCGCUCGCCCCGCCCUCCGCCCGCUUCCUUCCGGCCUCCGCGCGGCCGCCUCCGCGCGGCCCCGCCCCCGCGGCGCGCGCGCCCGGCCUCACUACAGCGCAGGCGCCGCCGGAGGCCCUGCCCCCGGGGACGGGUUUCUGAGCCCGAGCGCCGCCGGCCGCCCGACGACACCGGCAGUGAGGGCUCAGCGCGCCGCGCGUUGGUCAGGUGA
rnacentral:lncRNA from 1 species